rnacentral:rRNA from 1 species
UACGGAGGGUGCAAGCGUUAAUCGGAAUUACUGGGCGUAAAGCGCGCGUAGGUGGUUCGUUAAGUUGGAUGUGAAAUCCCCGGGCUCAACCUGGGAACUGCAUUCAAAACUGUCGAGCUAGAGUAUGGUAGAGGGUGGUGGAAUUUCCUGUGUAGCGGUGAAAUGCGUAGAUAUAGGAAGGAACACCAGUGGCGAAGGCGACCACCUGGACUGAUACUGACACUGAGGUGCGAAAGCGUGGGGAGCAAACAGG